GCAUCGGUGGUUCAGUGGUAGAAUG
rnacentral:piRNA from 6 species